GAUGAACGCUAGCUACAGGCUUAACACAUGCAAGUCGCGGGGUAACAUCUGGGAGAGCUUGCUCUUCCAGGAUGACGACCGGCGCACGGGUGAGUAACGCGUAUCCAACCUGGCCCAUACCACGGGAUAGCCCGUCGAAAGGCGGAUUAAUACCGUAUGCUGUCAUUAAGAUGCAUAUAUUGAUGACGAAAGGACUGGCGGUAUGGGAUGGGGAUGCGUCUGAUUAGCUUGUUGGCGGGGUAACGGCCCACCAAGGCGACGAUCAGUAGGGGUUCUGAGAGGAAGGUCCCCCACAUUGGAACUGAGACACGGUCCAA
rnacentral:rRNA from 1 species